rnacentral:misc_RNA from 1 species
GAUGAAGAACGCAGCUAAAUGCGAUAAGUAGUGUGAAUUGCAGAAUUCAGUGAAUCAUCGAAUCUUUGAACGCACAUUGCGCCCUUUGGUAUUCCUUAGGGCAUGCCUGUUCGAGCGUCAUUUGAAACCUCAAGCUCAGCUUGGUGUUGGGUGUCUGUCCCCGCCUCCGCGGGGACUCGCCUCAAAAUCAUUGGCGGCCGGUACGUUGGCUUCGAGCGCAGCAGAAACGCGAACUCGAGGCCCGGCGGAUCGGCGACCAGAAGUCUCUUCUUCACAGUUUGACCUCGGAUCAGGUAGGGAUACCCGCUGAACUUAAGCAUAUCAAUAAGCGGAGGA